UGUGCAAAUUGAAGUGGUUGGAAAAUCUAUUGGUCGUGCACAUUUUAAAAACUCUUUGUGAAAUAAAGUGUUGGACUCAGACUUCCAAGUGGCCACCAGUCUGGAGCAAAGUAUAUUGAGAAGUAAAAUGGUUUGUUUCUUCAACUGCUCAUCUCCUUUGACAUCUGUUCCCUUGGAGGAUGCCAGUGCCCCAGGACCUGGUGCUGGAGAUAAUGGCAGCUGGAGCUCACCAGCUUCUUGGACUCACAAAGGUGUGAGCCGCAUGACUUCUCAGGUACUGACCACAUCCAGAAGGAAUUGAAAAUGAUGCAGCUCCGCCUCUUCCAAAAGGACAUGUAAAUGGAAUUACGGCCCUGUCAGACUGGAUUCUCUACUUACACAUAUGCCUUUCAAAUUCACCCAUGUUACUGUAUAGAAUAACAUUUCUUUUUGAUUGUUCACAGCAUUCCAUAGUAUUGACAUACCACACUGCAUUCAUUCAGUUACCAAUUAAAGAGCCUCUCGGUUAAUUCCAGUUUUGGGUGAUUAUGAAUGAAGAUGAUGUAAGCAUUGACACGCAAGUUUUUACAUGCAAACAUGUUUUUAAAUCAGUUGGGCAAAUACCUGCAAGAUGACCAUUGUGUCAUAUGUUAAUUUAGGUCUGGCUUUAUGGAGACUGACAACUGUCUUUCAAAGUGGCUCUAUCAUUUACCUCCCCAGCAGCACCAAAUGAAAGUUGCUAUUGCACCGUCAUUUUACCAGCACUGGGUAUGACCAGUUUGGAUUUUAGACAUUCUAAUAGCUGUGUGGUAUUAUCUCUAUAUUGUUUUAAUUUACAUUUCCCUAAUGUAAUGUAAUGUUUAGUGUCUUUCCAUAUACUUACCUUGCCAUCUUUUUUUUUUUUUUUAAUCUACUAAAAGUGGUGUUUAGCAAUUUAGUUCAUUUUUAAGUAGGGUUGAUUAUUUCACAUUGUCCAGGGUUAAGAGUUCUUUGAUAGAAGAUCUUCAUCAGAUAAGUUUUGUAAAAUAUUCUCUGUAUUUGUAAAAUAUUCAAGCCUGUGGCUUGUCUAUUCCUUCUCUUAAUAGUGUCUUUUCCAAAGCAGACGCUUUGUCUGUUUGCUU